rnacentral:rRNA from 1 species
UACGGAGGAUGCGAGCGUUAUCCGGAUUCAUUGGGUUUAAAGGGUGCGUAGGCGGACCGAUAAGUCAGUGGUGAAAACCUGCAGCUUAACUGUAGAACUGCCAUUGAUACUGUCGGACUUGAGUAUGGUCAAGGUAGGCGGAAUGUGUAAUGUAGCGGUGAAAUGCUUAGAUAUUACACAGAACACCGAUUGCGAAGGCAGCUUGCUGGGCCAUUACUGACGCUGAUGCACGAAAGCGUGGGGAGCAAACAGG